rnacentral:rRNA from 1 species
GACGAACGCUGGCGGCGUGCUUAACACAUGCAAGUCGAACGAAGAGCGAUGGAAGCUUGCUUCUAUCAAUCUUAGUGGCGAACGGGUGAGUAACGCGUAAUCAACCUGCCCUUCAGAGGGGGACAACAGUUGGAAACGACUGCUAAUACCGCAUACGAUCUAAUCUCGGCAUCGAGGAUAGAUGAAAGGUGGCCUCUACAUGUAAGCUAUCACUGAAGGAGGGGAUUGCGUCUGAUUAGCUAGUUGGAGGGGUAACGGCCCACCAAGGCGAUGAUCAGUAGCCGGUCUGAGAGGAUGAACGGCCACAUUGGGACUGAGACACGGCCCAGACCCCUACGGGAGGCAGCAGUGGGGAAUCUUCCGCAAUGGACGAAAGUCUGACGGAGCAACGCCGCGUGAGUGAUGACGGCCUUCGGGUUGUAAAGCUCUGUUAAUCGGGACGAAAGGCCUUCUUGCGAAUAGUGAGAAGGAUUGACGGUACCGGAAUAGAAAGCCACGGCUAACUAC